UACGAAGGGGGCGAGCGUUAUUCGGAAUCACUGGGCGUAAAGCGUGCGUAGGCUGUUUCGCAAGUUUGGAAGUGAAAGCCCAGGGCUCAACCCUGGAAUUGCUUUCAAAACUGCGAGACUCGAGUCCGGGAGAGGAUAGCGGAAUUUCCAGUGUAGUAGUGAAAUACGUAGAUAUUGGAAGGAACACCAGUGGCGCAAGCGGCUAUCUGGACCGGUACUGACGCUGAGGCACGAAAGCGUGGGGAUCAAACAGG
rnacentral:rRNA from 1 species